rnacentral:rRNA from 1 species
UGUGGUAGGGGAGACUGGAAUUCCUGGUGUAGCGGUGAAAUGCGCAGAUAUCAGGAGGAACACCGAUGGCGAAGGCAGGUCUCUGGGCCACUACUGACGCUGAGAAGCGAAAGCAUGAGGAGCGAACAGGAUUAGAUACCCUGGUAGUCCAUGCCGUAAACGUUGGGAACUAGGUGUGGGCCUCAUUCCACGAGGUCCGUGCCGCAGCUAACGCAUUAAGUUCCCCGCCUGGGGAGUACGGCCGCAAGGCUAAAACUCAAAGGAAUUGACGGGGGCCCGCACAAGCGGCGGAGCAUGCGGAUUAAUUCGAUGCAACGCGAAGAACCUUACCAAGGCUUGACAUGUGCCGGAAAAGUGCAGAGAUGUGCUCCCCGCAAGGUCGGUACACAGGUGGUGCAUGGUUGUCGUCAGCUCGUGUCGUGAGAUGUUGGGUUAAGUCCCGCAACGAGCGCAACCCUCGUCCUAUGUUGCCAGCACGUGAUGGUGGGGACUCAUAGGAGACUGCCGGGGUCAACUCGGAGGAAGGUGGGGAUGACGUCAAAUCAUCAUGCCCCUUAUGUCUUGGGCUUCACGCAUGCUACAAUGGCCAGUACAAAGGGCUGCGAUACCGCAAGGUGGAGCGAAUCCCAAAAAACUGGUCUCAGUUCGGAUUGGGGUCUGCAACUCGACCCCAUGAAGUCGGAGUCGCUAGUAAUCGCAGAUCAGCAACGCUGCGGUGAAUACGUUCCCGGGCCUUGUACACACCGCCCGUCAAGUCACGAAAGUCGGUAACACCCGAAGCCGGUGGCCCAACUCGUAAGAGGGGGAGCCGUCGAAGGUGGGACUGGCG